rnacentral:misc_RNA from 1 species
UACGUAGGUGGCAAGCGUUGUCCGGAAUUAUUGGGCGUAAAGCGUGCGCAGGCGGUCCCUUAAGUCUGAUGUGAAAGCCCACGGCUCAACCGUGGAGGGUCAUUGGAAACUGGGGGACUUGAGUACAGAAGAGGAAAGUGGAAUUCCAUGUGUAGCGGUGAAAUGCGUAGAGAUGUGGAGGAACACCAGUGGCGAAGGCGGCUCUUUGGCCUAUAACUGACGCUGAGGCACGAAAGCAUGGGUAGCGAACAGG